GAUUAAGUUAUUAAGGGCGCACGGUGGAUGCCUUGGCACUAGAAGCCGAUGAAGGACGUUACUAACGACGAUAUGCUUUGGGGAGCUGUAAGUAAGCUUUGAUCCAGAGAUUUCCGAAUGGGGAAACCCAGCAUGAGUUAUGUCAUGUUAUCGAUAUGUGAAUACAUAGCAUAUCAGAAGGCACACCCGGAGAACUGAAACAUCUUAGUACCCGGAGGAAGAGAAAGAAAAUUCGAUUCCCUUAGUAGCGGCGAGCGAAACGGGAAGAGCCCAAACCAACAAGCUUGCUUGUUGGGGUUGUAGGACACUCUAUACGGAGUUACAAAGGACGACAUUAGACGAAUCAUCUGGAAAGAUGAAUCAAAGAAGGUAAUAAUCCUGUAGUCGAAAAUGUUGUCUCUCUUGAGUGGAUCCUGAGUACGACGGAGCACGUGAAAUUCCGUCGGAAUUUGGGAGGACCAUCUCCUAAGGCUAAAUACUCUCUAGUGACCGAUAGCGAACCAGUACCGUGAGGGAAAGGUGAAAAGCACCCCGGAAGGGGAGUGAAAUAGAACCUGAAACCGUGUGCUUACAAGUAGUCAGAGCCCGUUAAUGGGUGAUGGCGUGCCUUUUGUAGAAUGAACCGGCGAGUUACGAUUUGAUGCAAGGUUAAGCAGUAAAUGUGGAGCCGUAGCGAAAGCGAGUCUGAAUAGGGCGUUUAGUAUUUGGUCGUAGACCCGAAACCAGGUGAUCUACCCUUGGUCAGGUUGAAGUUCAGGUAACACUGAAUGGAGGACCGAACCGACUUACGUUGAAAAGUGAGCGGAUGAACUGAGGGUAGCGGAGAAAUUCCAAUCGAACCUGGAGAUAGCUGGUUCUCUCCGAAAUAGCUUUAGGGCUAGCCUCAAGUGAUGAUUAUUGGAGGUAGAGCACUGUUUGGACGAGGGGCCCCUCUAGGGUUACCGAAUUCAGACAAACUCCGAAUGCCAAUUAAUUUAACUUGGGAGUCAGAACAUGGGUGAUAAGGUCCGUGUUCGAAAGGGAAACAGCCCAGACCACCAGCUAAGGUCCCAAAAUAUAUGUUAAGUGGAAAAGGAUGUGGCGUUGCCCAGACAACUAGGAUGUUGGCUUAGAAGCAGCCAUCAUUUAAAGAGUGCGUAAUAGCUCACUAGUCGAGUGACACUGCGCCGAAAAUGUACCGGGGCUAAACAUAUUACCGAAGCUGUGGAUUGUCCUUUGGACAAUGGUAGGAGAGCGUUCUAAGGGCGUUGAAGCAUGAUCGUAAGGACAUGUGGAGCGCUUAGAAGUGAGAAUGCCGGUGUGAGUAGCGAAAGACGGGUGAGAAUCCCGUCCACCGAUUGACUAAGGUUUCCAGAGGAAGGCUCGUCCGCUCUGGGUUAGUCGGGUCCUAAGCUGAGGCCGACAGGCGUAGGCGAUGGAUAACAGGUUGAUAUUCCUGUACCACCUAUAAUCGUUUUAAUCGAUGGGGGGACGCAGUAGGAUAGGCGAAGCGUGCGAUUGGAUUGCACGUCUAAGCAGUAAGGCUGAGUAUUAGGCAAAUCCGGUACUCAUUAAGGCUGAGCUGUGAUGGGGAGAAGACAUUGUGUCUUCGAGUCGUUGAUUUCACACUGCCGAGAAAAGCCUCUAGAUAGAAAAUAGGUGCCCGUACCGCAAACCGACACAGGUAGUCAAGAUGAGAAUUCUAAGGUGAGCGAGCGAACUCUCGUUAAGGAACUCGGCAAAAUGACCCCGUAACUUCGGGAGAAGGGGUGCUCUUUAGGGUUAACGCCCAGAAGAGCCGCAGUGAAUAGGCCCAAGCGACUGUUUAUCAAAAACACAGGUCUCUGCUAAACCGUAAGGUGAUGUAUAGGGGCUGACGCCUGCCCGGUGCUGGAAGGUUAAGAGGAGUGGUUAGCUUCUGCGAAGCUACGAAUCGAAGCCCCAGUAAACGGCGGCCGUAACUAUAACGGUCCUAAGGUAGCGAAAUUCCUUGUCGGGUAAGUUCCGACCCGCACGAAAGGCGUAACGAUUUGGGCACUGUCUCAACGAGAGACUCGGUGAAAUCAUAGUACCUGUGAAGAUGCAGGUUACCCGCGACAGGACGGAAAGACCCCGUGGAGCUUUACUGUAGCCUGAUAUUGAAAUUCGGCACAGCUUGUACAGGAUAGGUAGGAGCCUUUGAAACGUGAGCGCUAGCUUACGUGGAGGCGCUGGUGGGAUACUACCCUAGCUGUGUUGGCUUUCUAACCCGCACCACUUAUCGUGGUGGGAGACAGUGUCAGGCGGGCAGUUUGACUGGGGCGGUCGCCUCCUAAAAGGUAACGGAGGCGCUCAAAGGUUCCCUCAGAAUGGUUGGAAAUCAUUCAUAGAGUGUAAAGGCAUAAGGGAGCUUGACUGCGAGACCUACAAGUCGAGCAGGGUCGAAAGACGGACUUAGUGAUCCGGUGGUUCCGCAUGGAAGGGCCAUCGCUCAACGGAUAAAAGCUACCCCGGGGAUAACAGGCUUAUCUCCCCCAAGAGUUCACAUCGACGGGGAGGUUUGGCACCUCGAUGUCGGCUCAUCGCAUCCUGGGGCUGUAGUCGGUCCCAAGGGUUGGGCUGUUCGCCCAUUAAAGCGGUACGCGAGCUGGGUUCAGAACGUCGUGAGACAGUUCGGUCCCUAUCCGUCGUGGGCGUAGGAAAUUUGAGAGGAGCUGUCCUUAGUACGAGAGGACCGGGAUGGACAUACCUCUGGUGUACCAGUUGUCGUGCCAACGGCAUAGCUGGGUAGCUAUGUGUGGACGGGAUAAGUGCUGAAAGCAUCUAAGCAUGAAGCCCCCCUCAAGAUGAGAUUUCCCAACUUCGGUUAUAAGAUCCCUCAAAGAUGAUGAGGUUAAUAGGUUCGAGGUGGAAGCAUGGUGACAUGUGGAGCUGACGAAUACUAAUCGAUCGAAAACUUAAUCAA
rnacentral:rRNA from 1 species